AGUAAAUAGAUACCCGGGUAGUCCACGCUGUAAACGAUGUGUGCUGGAUGUUGGGUGACUUAGUCAUUCAGUGUCGUAGUUAACGCGAUAAGCACACCGCCUGGGGAGUACGGCCGCAAGGUUGAAACUCAAAGGAAUUGACGGGGGCCCGGCCGACAAGACGGUGGAGGCAUGUUGGUUUUAAGUUUACGUAAGACAACGACGCAGAACCUUAACCCUACGGGCGUUGUACAUGGGGUAGGGCGUGCAGUCAGAGAUGGCUGUUUCUUCGCAAGAGACCUCCUGCACAGGUGCUGCAUGGCUGUCGUCAGCUCGUGUCGUG
rnacentral:rRNA from 1 species